GACGUAGGGCGCGAGCGUUGUCCGGAUUUAUUGGGCGUAAAGAGCUCGUAGGCGGCUUGUCGCGUCGACUGUGAAAUCCCGCGGCUCAACUGCGGGUCUGCAGUCGAUACGGGCAGGCUAGAGUUCGGUAGGGGAGACUGGAAUUCCUGGUGUAGCGGUGAAAUGCGCAGAUAUCAGGAGGAACACCGAUGGCGAAGGCAGGUCUCUGGGCCGAUACUGACGCUGAGGAGCGAAAGCGUGGGGGGCGAACAGG
rnacentral:rRNA from 1 species